rnacentral:rRNA from 1 species
UACGUAGGGUGCAAGCGUUUGUCCGGAAUUAUUGGGCGUAAAGAGCUCGUAGGCGGUCUGUCGCGUCGGCUGUGAAAUCCCGAGGCUCAACCUCGGGUCUGCAGUCGAUACGGGCAAACUGGAGUACUGCAGGGGAGACUGGAAUUCCUGGUGUAGCGGUGAAAUGCGCAGAUAUCAGGAGGAACACCGGUGGCGAAGGCGGGACUCUGGGCAGUAACUGACGCUGAGGAGCGAAAGCGUGGGGAGCGAACAGG